rnacentral:rRNA from 1 species
AGUGAACGCUGGCGGCGUGCCUAAUACAUGCAAGUCGAACGGAGAUUAAGUAGCUUGCUGUUUAAUCUUAGUGGCGCACGGGUGAGUAAUAUAUAGCUAACUUGCCCAUUACUAAGGGACAACAGUUGGAAACGACUGCUAAUACCUUAUACUCCGUAUCUAUAUAAGUAGAUACGGGAAAGUUUUUCGGUAAUGGAUAGGGCUAUAUCGUAUCAGCUAGUUGGUAAGGUAAUGGCUUACCAAGGCUAUGACGCGUAACUGGUCUGAGAGGAUGAUCAGUCACACUGGAACUGAGACACGGUCCAGACUCCUACGGGAGGCAGCAGUAGGGAAUAUUGCUCAAUGGGGGAAACCCUGAAGCAGCCACGCCGCGUGAAGGAUGACACUUUUCGGAGCGUAAACUCCUUUUCUUGGGAAAGAAUUAUGACGGUACCCAAGGAAUAAGCACCGGCUAACUCCGUG